UACGUAGGUGGCAAGCGUUGUCCGGAAUUAUUGGGCGUAAAGCGCGCGCAGGCGGCUCUUUAAGUCUGAUGUGAAAGCCCACGGCUCAACCGUGGAGGGUCAUUGGAAACUGGGGGACUUGAGUGCAGAAGAGGAAAGCGGAAUUCCACGUGUAGCGGUGAAAUGCGUAGAGAUGUGGAGGAACACCAGUGGCGAAGGCGGCUUUCUGGUCUGUAACUGACGCUGAGGCGCGAAAGCGUGGGGAGCAAACAGG
rnacentral:rRNA from 1 species